UUUUUAUUUGCUGUACUCAAUAUGCUGGUUUAAUCUUCCGAGCAAAUUGGUUCCACCAUGUGGAUAUAACAUUUGUACCUUAUGCUGUUUUGGUUUGCAGGAAAGUUGGCGCAGGCCAAAGGGUAUUGACUCACGUGUUAGGAGUCAAUAUGCUGGUUUAAUCUUCCGAGCAAAUUGGUUCCACCAUGUGGAUAUAACAUUUGUACCUUAUGCUGUUUUGGUUUGCAGGAAAGUUGGCGCAGGCCAAAGGGUAUUGACUCACGUGUUAGGAGAAAGUUCAAAGGAGUUACUUUGAUGCCAAACAUUGGGUAUGGUUCCGACAAGAAGACCC
rnacentral:lncRNA from 1 species